GAGGGUAUAGCUCAAGUGGUAGAGCACGUGCCUAGCAUGCAUGGGGUCCUGGGUUCAAUCCCUGGUAUCGCCA
rnacentral:tRNA from 1 species